GACGAACGCUGGCGGCGUGCUUAACACAUGCAAGUCGAACGGAAAGGCCCUGCUUUUGUGUGGUUCUCGAGUGGCGAACGGGUGAGUAACACGUGAGUCACCUGCCCUUGACUUUGGGAUAACUUCAGGAAACUGGGGCUAAUACCGAAUAGGAGCUCCUGCUGCAUGGUGGGUGUUGGAAAGUUUCGGCGGUUGGGGAUGGACUCGCGGCUUAUCAGCUUGUUGGUGGGGUAGUGGCUUACCAAGGCUUUGACGGGUAGCCGGCCUGAGAGGGUGACCGGGGACAAUGGGACUGAGAUACGGCCCAGACUGCUACGGGAGGCAGAAGUGGGGAAUAUUGCACAAUGGGCGGAAGUCUGAUGAAGAAACGCCGCGUGCGGGAUGAAGGCCUUCGGGUUGUAAACCGCUUUCGCCUGUGACGAAGCGGGAGUGACGGUAAUGGGUAAAGAAGCACCGGCUAACUACGUG
rnacentral:rRNA from 1 species